GGAGCCGCGACUGGGACGAAGUCGUAACAAGGUAGCCGUACCGGAAGGUGCGGCUGGAUCACCUCCUUUCUAGGGAG
rnacentral:rRNA from 1 species